UCCUUUGUUAGCUGACUUUUGCUAACAUUUAUUUACGUUACAAUCCAUUAAGUCAAAGUUAAAAAGUUAAAGUCCCGACGAUAGUCACACACACACUAGGUGUGGUGAAAUUAUCCUCUGCAUUUGACCCAUACCCUUGUUCCACCCCCUGGGAGGUGAGGGGAGCAGUGAGCAGCAGCGGCAGUCCUCAGGAAUCAUUUUGGUGAUUUAGGGUUAGGUUAGGGUUAGGUCUAAAGUAAAUUAUACAAGUAUUUCUGUCCUAAACAGUAGGGCAUCAAUACUUACACUUUCUGCUAAAGGUAGUGUUUUAUAGAAAGUACUGGAAUGAGUUAUCGUGUAUAAGAUGUAUUUAUGGUAUAUUUUUAACUCCACCAUGUCAUACAUGUAUAAGUUUGUCUCUUGUCAUUCAAAGAGCUUCCAAGGAAGAGGUGGACCCAAAGGAGACAUUGGAGACCCUGGUGUGGAGGGGAUGGCUGGUGAGAAAGGUGAAAAGGGUAUGUCUGGAGAACCUGGCCCUAAAGGACAGGUGAGUUGUUUGUUGUUUGUUUGUGACAGGGUAUGUCUGGAGAACCUGGCCCUAAAGGACAGGUGAGUUGUUUGUUGUUUGUUUGUGACAGGGUAUGUCUGGAGAACCUGGCCCUAAAGGACAGGUGAGUUGUUUGUUGUUUGUUUGUGACAGGGUAUGUCUGGAGAACCUGGCCCUAAAGGACAGGUGAGUUGUGUAUGAUCAUGUGUUAAGUAAAUAUACACUUCAUGCACUUGUAUUCAGCCUACAUUUGUGUGUUUGCAGCACAGAGUGAGGGGAGACCUUGGACAUAACGGUCCAACUGGAGACUCUGGGAAGCCAGGUGAUCUAGGACCCCCUGGACUGCCUGGUCCUCGGGGGUUGAACGGCAUGAGAGGAGUGCCUGGCAUGCCGGGUAUUGAGGGUC